AGUGAACGCUGGCGGUAGGCCUAACACAUGCAAGUCGAACGGCAGCACAGUAAGAGCUUGCUCUUACGGGUGGCGAGUGGCGGACGGGUGAGGAAUACAUCGGAAUCUACUUUUUCGUGGGGGAUAACGUAGGGAAACUUACGCUAAUACCGCAUACGACCUACGGGUGAAAGCAUGGGAUCUUCGGACCUUGCGCGAUUGAAUGAGCCGAUGUCGGAUUAGCUAGUUGGCGGGGUAAAGGCCCACCAAGGCGACGAUCCGUAGCUGGUCUGAGAGGAUGAUCAGCAACACUGGAACUGAGACACGGUCCAGACUCCUACGGGAGGCAGCAGUGGGGAAUAUUGGACAAUGGGCGCAAGCCUGAUCCAGCCAUACCGCGUGGGUGAAGAAGGCCUUCGGGUUGUAAAGCACUUUUGUUGGGAAAGAAAAGCAGCAGGUUAAUACCCCGCUGUUCUGACGGUACCAAAAGAAUAAGCACCGGCUAACUUCGUG
rnacentral:rRNA from 1 species